UGGGGGAUAUUGCACAAUGGGCGAAAGCCUGAUGCAGCGACGCCGCGUGGGGGAUGAAGGCUUUCGGGUUGUAAACCUCUUUCGCUAUCGAACAAGGCCCGCUUAGGGUGGGUUGAGGGUAGGUGGAGAAGAAGCGCCGGCUAACUACGUGCCAGCAGCCGCGGUAAUACGUAGGGCGCGAGCGUUUUCCGGAAUUAUUGGGCGUAAAGGGCUUGUAGGCGGCUUGUUGCGCCUGCUGUGAAAACGCGGGGCUUAACUUCGCGCGUGCAGUGGGUACGGGCAGGCUUGAGUGUGGUAGGGGUGACUGGAAUUCCAGGUGUAGCGGUGGAAUGCGCAGAUAUCUGGAGGAACACCGAUGGCGAAGGCAGGGCACUGGGCCAUUACUGACGCUGAGGAGCGAAAGCAUGGGUAGCGAACAGG
rnacentral:rRNA from 1 species